CCGUAGCCCAAGAGAUCGGGAUAACACCUGGAAACAGAUGCUAAUACCGGAUAACAACAGAUGAUGCCUAUCAACUGUUUAAAAGAAUGGUUCUGCUAUCACUCUUGGAUGGACCUGCGGUGCAUUAGCUAGUUGGUAGGGUAACGGCCUACCAAGGCGAUGAUGCAUAGCCGAGUUGAGAGACUGAUCGGCCACAUUGGGACUGAGACACGGCCCAAACUCCUACGGGAGGCAGCAGGC
rnacentral:rRNA from 1 species